rnacentral:rRNA from 1 species
CCCUUAGAUGUUCUGGGCUGCACGCGCGCUACACUGAUGCAUGCAACGAGUUUUCGACCUUGCCUGAAAAGGUUGGGUAAUCUGUUUAACAUGUGUCGUGAUGGGGAUAGACCAUUGCAAUUAUUGAUCUUCAACGAGGAAUUCCUAGUAAACGCAAGUCAUCAACUUGCAUUGAUUACGUCCCUGCCCUUUGUACACACCGCCCGUCGCACCUACCGAUUGAAUGGUCCGGUGAAGCCUCCGGAUUGGCGCGCACCUCGGUGCCGCCGAGAAGUUGGCUAAACCUUACCAUUUAGAGGAAGGUGAAGUCGUAACA